GACGAACGCUGGCGGCGUGCUUAACACACGCAAGUCGAACGAGAAUCUGUGGAAAGAGGAUUCGUCCAAUUGAAGCAGAGGACAGUGGCGGACGGGUGAGUAACGCGUGAGGAACCUGCCUUUCAGAGGGGGACAACAGUUGGAAACGACUGCUAAUACCGCAUGACACAUAGGUGUCGCAUGGCACUUAUGUCAAAGAUUUAUCGCUGAAAGAUGGCCUCGCGUCUGAUUAGCUAGUUGGUGAGGUAACGGCCCACCAAGGCGACGAUCAGUAGCCGGACUGAGAGGUUGAACGGCCACAUUGGGACUGAGAUACGGCCCAGACUCCUACGGGAGGCAGCAGUGGGGAAUAUUGGGCAAUGGGCGCAAGCCUGACCCAGCAACGCCGCGUGAAGGAAGAAGGCUUUCGGGUUGUAAACUUCUUUUGUCAGGGACGAGUAGAAGACGGUACCUGACGAAUAAGCCACGGCUAACUACGUGCCAGCAGCCGCCGCGG
rnacentral:rRNA from 1 species